GAUGAACGCUGGCGGCGUGCUUAACACAUGCAAGUCGAACGGUGAAGGCGGAGCUUGCUCUUCUUGCUCAGUGGCGAACGGGUGCGUAACACGUGAGCAAUCUGCCCCUCACUCUGGGAUAAGCUCUGGAAACGGCGUCUAAUACUGGAUACGAGCUGCGAAGGCAUCUUCAGCAGCUGGAAAGAACUUCGGUCAGGGAUGAGCUCGCGGCUUAUCAGCUUGUUGGUGAGGUAACGGCUCACCAAGGCGUCGACGGGUAGCCGGCCUGAGAGGGUGACCGGCCACACGGGGACUGAGAGACGGCCCAGACUCCUACGGGAGGCAGCAGUGGGGAAUAUUGCACAAUGGGCGAAAGCCUGAUGCAGCAACGCCGCGUGAGGGACGACGGCCUUCGGGUUGUAAACCUCUUUUAGCAGGGAAGAAGCGAAAGUGACGGUACCUGCAGAAAAAGCGCCGGCUAACUACGUG
rnacentral:rRNA from 1 species